AUGCGGGCCCGGACAAGGUUCGGUGGCGUCUUGAACCUUCGGGCCAAUUCUCCACCAAGUCCCUCUACUCGGCCAUUGCCCCCUCCUCCGCUCCUCCCCCUCCCUGCGGUUUGGUCCAUUCGCUUGCCAUUGAAAUUUCGGAUAUUCAUGUGGCAAUGGAUCCGCGGUAGGAUUCUGUCUGGGGUGGAGGUCCGCAAACGCAAUGGCCCUGGGUCCGGCCUCUGCCCCUUGUGUGGUACCCCCGAAGAUUCGAAUCACAUCUUCUUCUCCUGUGUCUCAGCUCAAUUCAUGUGGAGCUGCUUUAGGGAGGCAGUGGGAGGCGAUUGGUGUCACACCAACUUCCCCGACCUCUUCGCUGAACAUUAG
rnacentral:rRNA from 1 species